GGCGCUGUAGCAUAGUGGCUUAAUGCACCCGGUUGUCAACCGGGAGAUCGUGGAUUCGAAUUCCACCAGCGCCGCCA
rnacentral:tRNA from 1 species